CCCCCUCGUGGGGAAGGUAGAAGGUGGGGUCUGCCGGACGCGUGUUCCUGCCACCAGGUGCCCGCUCCCCGCGAGGCCGGCUCAGGAGCAGAAGGAAGCCCGGUGCCAGCCAGCCUUCCUGAAAGACCAAGCCCGCGCCAUCCGGCUUCCUCCAGUGGACGCCUGCAGGACCCAGGAAUGUUUUUCUUGAAGGCAUCCAGCAUCUCCAGUUAGCAGUACUGAUUUUUUUUCCCCCCAACAAAGGAACACUACAUCAACACUGUUGGCGGGGACCUGGACACAGAAGACUCCUGUUUCAAGAAAAUACAAUCAUCUCUCAAAGGCUGUAAUUUAUAUGCAUUUUAAAACUCUAGGCAUUGAAAACCACCCAAGUGUCCCAAAUAGAAGGGUAAUAUAUAAUCAAUCACUCAGUGUAAUAUUAUACAUCCUUUAAAAAUGUUAUUGGGAAAUGUUUUAUGAUCUGUAAGUCCAAGGAAUCCUCUCCCACCAUUUCUUUCCCCCCGCUGUUCCCCCAUACCCACACUUCUUUGUUCCAAUUGGCAUGUAAAUUUGGUUUUCCCGCCAAAUGAGUCAGUCAUGAUGGGAACCUCAACUGAUUUGAACAGAUGUGUGUCAAUGUUACUUGGAAAACUAGAUGUCAAUAACCAGGGUCACAGAAAAAGGCAGUGGUCACAACUCUGUAAAAAUGUAUGCAUGCACACAGACAAGAACUAAAGUGGAACCCCACACAGG
rnacentral:lncRNA from 1 species